rnacentral:rRNA from 1 species
GUGUCAGCAGCCGCGGUAAUACGGAGGGUGCAAGCAUUGAUCGGAAUUACUGGGCGUAAAGGGCGCGUAGGCGGACGAAUAAGUCGGAUGUGAAAUUCCGGGGCUCAACCCCGGAGCGGCAUUUGAAACUGUUUGUCUAGAGUGCAGAUAGGGUAAACGGAAUUCCACGUGUAGCGGUGAAAUGCGUAGAUAUGUGGAAGAACACCGGUGGUGAAGACGGUUUACUGGGCUGAUACUGACGCUGAGGCGCGAAAGCAUGGGGAGCAAACAGGAUUAGAUACCCUGGUAGUCCAUGCCUUAAACGAUGUAUACUAGGUGUAGAAGGGAUCAACCCCCUCUGUACCGGAGCUAACGCAUUAAGUAUACCGCCUGGGGAGUACGCUCGCAAGGGUGAA